UAAAUAGUAAGCGAAUGCUGGAUUUCAUUGAUUUGUAGAUUUUGUGCAAACUUUAGGAUAUUUUUCUCCUACCACAGCUAUUACACUUAUUAGCAAAUGAUGAACAACAUUCAUGUGGCCAUCGUGAACGGUAAAUACACUGAAUCCAAUCGUCCUUUUUGUUGGUUUCGUAAUAAAUUUCACCACACCCCACACAUUCGUCUUCAUCACAUUCGUCAAAGCUAUUUUCAGUAUCUUCUACAAAGGCUUCAGUGUCGCAGAUUUCUGCCUCUGACGAACAUGGUGGACUGUUGUAGAAUUUUUCUUUUGUCGUUUCUUGGGUCUCUUUUUCUCCCCCUUGUGCUCUGGUUUGUUGGUAGUUUCUGUUCCCUGUUUUCUGUUGCCUUUCUGUCCUAAUCCAUCUUUUCCUUUACACUUUUAAUCUUUUCAGCAAAUAUCCAUCUUUUGAUUUGCAGCUCCUUGUAUUGGCCGUGUUUGCAGUUAAAAUUUUUGGUAUUUGAGGUCCGCCAGUUACGCAAAACACUGGUUUUCUCAGUACCCAAACAUAUUUCCGCACCACUGUGCCGCUUUUCACUGCACCAGAACACAGUGUGACUGUGGUUUCUUAUACGUCUCAGCCCAGUCAGUGUUCACUUGUUCACCAGAGAGAUCGGCGCCAAAUUUGAAUUUUAUUCGCAUUUUACUACGUUAUUUUUGGAGAAUACUUGUUAUGGCUACGUAUGCGUCACAACAUCUCAGCAUGAUGCGGAGAAUGGUAGUGCUUGCCUCACGAAAACGUAAGUAAAUACUAAAAUAGGGGCGGAAACACCGCGAAAAACUAAAUUACACUCUAGCAAAUAGGAGGUUAACUCUCAGAAAAACAACUUUCUCAUCAACAUCGUUUGCUUGCAGAUGACAAGCUACCUGCAAGAAUUAACACGAAACUGGUCCAGAAAAUUCAAGCUCACGAAAUGUAAAAAGAAACGAUCUGUUGUUUGAGCUAAAAAUGCACAUCAUUUUAUAGUCAUGUAACAAAAAUGUAAACAUUUCAGAAUAAAUAAAAGCGAAAACCUACUGAUGAUGACACAGUGGUGCCGAAAUAUGUUUGGUUACUGAGAAAAACGGUUUUUUGCGUAACUGGCGGACCUCAAACCCCAAAAAUUUUCAGCAGAUUUUAGCAGUUUGGAGACAGUUGUUGUGUUCCUCUUCAAAUUCGGUGUUUUGUCAAUAGAAGGAACAGGUGAUAUUUCUUCCAAAAGCUUUGUCGGUGUUUGCUUAGACGUUGGAGUGGUUAGUUUUGAUUUGGUAAUCGUGGAAGUCUCCGAUUUCGUAGGAGUGGUGCUUGAAGUUGUGUCGGCGGAGGAACUCAGCUCUUUUGACGUGUUUGGGGUCGCUAAGUUUGUUGAUGAGCUGUGAACUGGUUGGUUGGCUUGAGUGCUAGAUUCAGCUCCUAUGUUUGUUGGCUCUGACUCCACUUCCGACAAAAAAGCAUUGUCGUGGACUGCAGACAUACUCAGUGGAAUUGUUCCGUAUACCUUGAAGCCACUUGUACCAUUUUCGGCGAUGGCUGAUUUAGCCCUUGCAGAAUUUAGUAGUUUUCCAAACUGAAGACGGUUUAUUUUCCUCCAUGGAUAAUUUAUCAAUAAAUUGUUGGAAACUUUGUAAAAAUAGUUUUUCAGUGAUUUGAAACAUGUUCGAUCCAACGGUCGCAACCAGUGGGAUGUAUGUGGACGUAGACCCAUUAAAAUAAUCCCCUGUUCCUCUACAAACUCUAAAGUUUCCAAACAGCUUGUGUGAGACUUGUGUAUCCAUCAAGUAUUAACAGUACUUUUCCAGCUGGUUUCCUGGGAGUGAAAUGGUUUUUAAGCCAAUCUAGGAAAAUAGAAUUGCUUACAUAUGCAGAUUUUUCAGACAUUCUUACAAUUAUACCGGGUGGCAUUCCAUCUAUAAAUUCCUGCUUUGGGUUUUUCCCCUUCAUUAUGAAAAAGGGUGGAAGAAAUGUUCCUUCGCCAUUGACACAAUACAGAACAGAGAUUGUCUCUCCUUUCUCGCCAGAUGUGACUGCCAAACCGUUUCUUGAGCCUUUAAUUGAUAAAACACUGCCAGGUUUGUUGUUCAGCUAAAGCCCAGUUGCAUCCAUAUCGUAGACGUGGCCUGGUUUGCCAAACCAUUCGUUUCUUGAGCCUUUAAUUGCUAAAACACUGCCAGGUUUGUUGUUCAGCUACAGCCCAGUUGCAUCCAUAUUGUAGACGUGGCCUGGUUUGCCAAACCAUUCGUUUCUUGAGCCUUUAAUUGCUAAAACACUGCCAGGUUUGUUGUUCAGCUAAAGCCCAGUUGCAUCCAUAUUGUAGUCGUGGCCUGGUUUGCCAAAUCAUUCGUUUCUUGAGCCUUUAAUUGCUAAAACACUGCCAGGUUUGUUGUUCAGCUACAGCCCAGUUGCAUCCAUAUUGUAGUCGUGGCCAAACCACUCGUUUCUUGAGCCUUUAAUUGCUAAAACACUGCCAGGUUUGUUGUUCAGCUACAGCCCAAUUGCAUCCAUAUUGUAGUCGUGGCCUGGUUUGCCAAACCACUCGUUUCUUGAGCCUUUAAUUGCUAAAACACUGCCAGGUUUGUUGUUCAGCUACAGCCCAGUUGCAUCCAUAUUAUAGACGUGGCCUGGUUUGCCAAACCAUUCGUUUCUUGAGCCUUUAAUUGCUAAAACACUGCCAGGUUUGUUGUUCAGCUACAGCCCAGUUGCAUCCAUAUUGUAGACGUGGCCUGGUUUGCCAAACCAUUCGUUUCUUGAGCCUUUAAUUGCUAAAACACUGCCAGGUUUGUUGUUCAGCUACAGCCCAGUUGCAUCCAUAUUGUAGACGUGGCCUGGUUUGCCAAACCAUUCGUUUCUUGAGCCUUUAAUUGCUAAAACACUGCCAGGUUUGUUGUUCAGCUACAGCCCAGUUGCAUCCAUAUUGUAGUCGUGGCCUGGUUUGCCAAACCAUUCGUUUUCGCGCAUGACAGUUGCAAGACGCUUGAAAUACUCUUUCACAAUGUCUUUAUUCAUCCCUUUGCCUCGAGCAGCUGCCACACAUUCCGCUCUUCUUACAGCUAUAAUGGGAUUACGUCGAAUAAAGGAAUGAAGCCCGUCGUAACAAGCCUUUUUUAAUUCCUUAUUGGAAGUAUGUUGUAUAUUUUGCCUUUCAGCUAAUUCAAAUGCCAUACCCCUUACCGAACCUCUGUAUGGUGCAAAAUCUCGCUCUUGAAGUUUCUUAAUGUGAGUGAUGACUUUUCGAUCAUUCUCAUUUCCCAGUAAAGGCAGAGGUCCCAUACUACCCUUAGAAUAAUUUUUUGACUGCAGUCUUCUUUUCACUGCAGUUUUAGCCGUACCAAAAGCUUUAGCUGCAGCAUUGACACCCAUGAUAUUAUCCCGCACAGCAUGUAUGUCCUUCAUCAAUCCAUCUUUGGUCCAUUUGCCUCGCUCACAAGAUCCGGUCCUUUUGUAAUUACUUGGCAUUUUUCUGAAAGAGAAAAAUACCAACUAUGCAAAAACAUGU